CGGUGGAGACAGGAUGUCCCAGGUUCGCAGGGACGGCAGUCGCCCAACCCACAACCGGCCCCACCCUCCCGGGAGGGAGCGCUAGUCCCCUCCCCAAGUUCCAUCCCCACCCCCAGCUUCCCAGGGCUGAAACCCCGGGAACUGCCGGGCCAGGGAAGGGGCGGGACUGACUCGUGCCGUACCUGUCCGCGGGAUUUCCCGAGCCCUGCCCGGCCGCCCCGGGAGCGGAGUGGCGAGCCGGACUCCGAGUCGACCCGACCCCGGGGCAGCACCGGAGCGGACCGGGCAGCAGUGGGCGCUCGCGAUCCUCCUCGGCCCGACACGCUCUCCCUUCGGGCCCGGCCUCCUCUGUCCCCUCCUCCCGCUCCCGCUCCUCCCUCUGCUCCUCCCCUCGGCGGCGGUGAUAACCUCGCCUCCCCGCCUGCAAAGUCCCCGGCGCGAGGGCAGCCGCGAACCGCCGCCACCACUGGGUCUCCGCGGGCGCCUGCGCCGGUGUCUCGCCCUCCGGCCCGGGUCGUCCUGGAAAAACUCGCUCCGCUGGCCGCCGGGGCUCCACGGCGCUGCCCAUGGCCAAGCCCAGGAGCCGACUUCGGGCGCCGGACCGGCUGGACAGCCGAGGCGCGGCUCAGAAGAGUCAGGAGGUUUGCAUCUGCCCGACGCGUCUCUCUAGGACCGACCGUGAGGGGCAGUAGGAGCGCAAAGCUCCGCGGAGCCUGGGUACCACUCUGGCUGGCAACUGGGGCGGGGAUAACAGCAAAAACUCCGUCUUCAGGGAGCAUCCAGGGUGGGGAAACCUCAGUGCGGUUAGCUUUGGGAACGAAGCAGAGAUGGGACAUCUCCCGAGGGGCGGGCAAAGCUCGGGAGGAGAGAGAUGGAAGCGGCGGACAGACACACCUUGGGUGGUGA
rnacentral:lncRNA from 1 species